rnacentral:rRNA from 1 species
AAAACAUGUCCUUUGGAUUAUUUAUUUAAGGUCUGCCCUGCUCUAUGAUUUAUAUUAAAUGGCCGCAGUAUACUGACUGUGCAAAGGUAGCAUAAUCAAUUGUUUCUUAAUUAGGGGCUUGUAUGAAUGGUUGGAUGAGAGAUUAGCUUUUUUAGUUUUAAAUUAAUGAAUUUAACUUUUAGGUUAAAAGGCUUAAAUUUGUUUAUGGGACGAGAAGACCCUAUAGAAUUUUAUUCUUUUAAUUAUUGUAUAUUUUAUUUUUUAUUUUUAUAAUCUUAAAAAGAAUUAUGUUGGGGUGAUAGAGUAAUUUUUUUAACUUACUUUUUAUUUUUAUCAUUAAUUAGUGUUUUAUUGAUCCUUUAUUAAGGAUAAUAAGGUUAAAUUACCUUAGGGAUAACAGCGUAAUUUCUUUGGAGAGUUCAUAUCGAUGAAGGAGAUUGCGACCUCGAUGUUGGAUUAAAGUGGGUUCUAGGUGCAGAAUUUUAGUAACCCGGUCUGUUCGACCAUUAAAGCUCUA